CGCUUGAAAGAGCUGGCUAGCUUUGGUAAAGGGAGAGAUAAAACGCGUCCUUGAUGGGGUCCACGAGAGGCGGGGGUUCCCCUCUUCCUUAGUCUGCGGACAGUCCUUGCUUCCUGGCGGCGUCUUCGGCCAUCCGGACGGCCCAGAGCUGCUCUUCUGCGUCCAAGGGGCUUCGGACACCUUCAGGUCACGACGGGGGUCACUCAAACCGACGUACAGUUUGCCGAUCGACGUCUGCGCCAAGAUGGCACGGGUGGUUGUCGCCCGACUGCGUCCUCUCCCGCAGCACGAGACGAGCUGCGCAAUAGUUCCCGGAUGGCCUAUUCGUCCGCUGAAAUUCACACGCUCCCCAUUCUUGUAUGGAAACUUCUUUCGAGCGGGGCUCACAGCGUAAGCUUCCCGUCGUCCGCAGCUACCCUCACCUCCGGUCGUCGACAACGCGACUAGGUUGGCAAGAAGUUCAUGAGCGGGUCACGUGGCCAUCUUUCAAGGGACAUCGGGACACGUCCAUACCCUUGGAAACAAUCUGGAUGAUGUGCAGAAAGGCGCACAAAAUCGACAAAAGGCGUACAUCAACUACCGUCCUCCUGCCUGAGUUCUACACGACAUCGUGAAUCAAGAUGAACCAAGCAUACUUGGCACACCGGCAGCUCACACCACGAUAGUUGCAGAAAUUUCGCCUCCGAUAAUAAAAUAAAAGAUGAAUCAGUUUCUCUCUUU